GGGCCCGUGGUCUAGUCCGGUUAUGACGCUACCCUUACAAGGUAGAUAUCGCAGGUUCGAAUCCUGCCGGGCCCACCA
rnacentral:tRNA from 1 species